rnacentral:ribozyme from 14 species
UUCAUGUAUUUUAUUUUAACUUAUGUUCUAUUAAAUUUCUUUAUUUAAAAAAAAAAAUAAAAAAAAAUAAAAAACUAGAG